rnacentral:rRNA from 1 species
UACGUAGGGUGCGAGCGUUAAUCGGAAUUACUGGGCGUAAAGCGUGCGCAGGCGGACAUGUAAGUCAGAUGUGAAAUCCCCGGGCUUAACCUGGGAAUUGCAUUUGAAACUGUAUGUCUAGAGUGCGUCAGAGGGGGGUGGAAUUCCACGUGUAGCAGUGAAAUGCGUAGAGAUGUGGAGGAACACCGAUGGCGAAGGCAGCCCCCUGGGAUGACACUGACGCUCAUGCACGAAAGCGUGGGGAGCAAACAGG